CCCAGAACACAUAAAAGUUCAGUAAAAGAAUUUUAAAGCAAUCUAAGCCUUCUGAACUUAUUACAAUUAAACAUCUUCACCAUAAAUCAUCUAUUCUUCAUACCUGAGAUGCCGAGCUUUCCGAAUGAGUCUUUGUUUUUCAAUUUGGAUCUUUUAUUUAAACUUCCGCAAUCAACUCUUCAAGACUCCAUUCAACUUUACGAAAUCCGCCAACCUAUAAAAUCCUUAACAAUCUCCCCCUUUGGCGAUUUCGUGACAAAAUAUACUACAAAGCUCGUACACAACUCAGAAAUAAUAAAAAGAAGAUCAUCGCAAUCACCGAACGACAAUCUCCUGCAUGAUCGAUCCAAUAAACGAAAAUUACAAUUUUCACAACCUUAAUACAGACUCUAUAACUUAGACAUGGA
rnacentral:lncRNA from 1 species